UACAGAGGUCCCGAGCGUUGUUCGGAUUCAUUGGGCGUAAAGGGUGCGUAGGCGGCGCGGUAAGUCGGGUGUGAAAUCUCGGAGCUUAACUCCGAAACUGCAUUCGAUACUGCCGUGCUUGAGGACUGGAGAGGAGACUGGAAUUCCUGGUGUAGCGGUGAAAUGCGCAGAUAUCAGGAGGAACACCGGUGGUGUAAACGGCUUUCUGGACCAUAACUGACGCUGAGGCACGAAAGCGUGGGUAGCAAACAGG
rnacentral:rRNA from 1 species